AACAGACACGGAGGCUCACAAGGGAUUUGGCACAUUGACGUGCCGCUGAGAGAGCCGGGCUCUCCGGGCUCGCAGCAGAGGCGGUUUCGGGGCCCGGCAGCGCGGCCUGGAGUGCUGAGACAGACUAGACCUCUCUGGAAUGGAAGAGGUCCUGACCAUCUCCGCCACCAGAAGACCCUGCCGUGUGCUCCACCUCCUCGUCCACCACUUCCUCAUCAGAGGGCCGGCUUUAUGAACUGCGGGGCCCGAUUUGAAGACCUGGCAGCGGUCCGGGGCUUCGGCGGCACUUCGGUGGCGGGGGGCAGGGUCUGCUCCAGGUCUUCAGUGGUACUUCGGCGGGGGGUCGGGGAUGUCUGCACCGAAGGACCCCUUGCCGCUGAAAUGCCGCCGAAGACCCAGAGCGGACUCCCCUCGCCGCCGAAGACCCAGAGCGGACUCCCCCCACUGUUGAAACGCCGCUGAAGACCAGGACACCUCCCCCCCCAGGUUCCAGUCUCUUCAAAGACCCAAAGUGGAGUUAUGAACUUGAAGCCACAGAAGAACCCGUGUGGCAUCUGAAGGACCGCCCCUCGCCAGAGCCUCGUUGGGAGUGAUCUCUGAAGGGAAAAGAGCAAAAAAACCCGCUUUCCCUCCUCAGCAAUGAUGGUUGGAAUUUUACGGAUACUGGCUUUCCUGGCCUCAGUUUGCAUGCUGGAGUUUUAGACUACUGUUGCUGGCCUGCGGUCCAUCUCUG